ACGAACCUUCGGGUUAGUGGCGGACGGGUGAGUAACGCGUGACAAUCUGCCCUCAGGAGGGGGAUAACGGCUGGAAACGGCCGCUAAUACCCCAUAUGCCGAGAGGUGAAAUGAAUUUCGCCUGAGGAUGAGCUCGCGUCUGAUUAGCUAGUUGGUGUGGUAAAGGCUCACCAAGGCAUCGAUCAGUAGCUGGUCUGAGAGGAUGAUCAGCCACACUGGGACUGAGACACGGCCCAUACUCCUACGGGAGGCAGCAGUGGGGAAUUUUCCGCAAUGGGCGCAAGCCUGACGGAGCAACGUCGCGUGAGGGAUGAAGGCCUCUGGGCUGUAAACCUCUUUUAUCAAGGAAGAAGAUCUGACGGUACUUGAUGAAUAAGCCACGGCUAAUUCCGUGCCAGCAGCCGCGGUAAUACGGGAGUGGCAAGCGUUAUCCGGAAUUAUUGGGCGUAAAGCGUCCGCAGGCGGUUUUACAAGUCUGUCGUUAAAACGUGGAGCUCAACUCCCUUUCGGCGAUGGAAACUGUAAGACUAAAAUGUGGUAGGGGCAGAGGGAAUUCCCCGUGUAACGGUGAAAUGCGUAGAUAUUCGGGAAAACCACAGUGGGCGAAGGGCUCUGCUGGGCCCUAACUGACGCUCAUGUACGAAACUUGGGGAAGCAAAGGGAUUAAAAUACCCCUGUAGUCCUAGCCCGAAACCAUGAACACUCCGGGGCCGGGGGAAACGACCCC
rnacentral:rRNA from 1 species